rnacentral:rRNA from 1 species
AUUGAACGCUGGCGGCAGGCCUAACACAUGCAAGUCGAACGGUAACAGGAAGCAGCUUGCUGCUUCGCUGGCGAGUGGCGGACGGGUGAGUAAUGUCUGGGAAACUGCCUGAUGGAGGGGGAUAACUACUGGAAACGGUAGCUAAUACCGCAUAACGUCUCAUGACCAAAGAGGGGGACCUUAGGGCCUCUUGCCAUCGGAUGUGCCCAGAUGGUAUUAGCUAGUAGGUGGGGUAACGUCUCACCUAGGCGACGAUCUCUAGCUGGUCUGAGAGGAUGACCAGCCACACUGGAACUGAGACACGGUCCAGACUACUACGGGAGGCAGCAGUGGGGAAUAUUGCACAAUGGGCGCAAGCCUGAUGCAGCCAUGCCGAGUGUAUGAAGAAGGCCUUCGGGUUGUAAAGUACUUUCAGCGGGGAGGAAGGGAGUAAAGUUAAUACCUUUGCUCAUUGACGUUACCCGCAGAAGAAGCACCGGCUAACUCCGUG